rnacentral:rRNA from 1 species
AGUGAACGCUGGCGGUAGGCCUAACACAUGCAAGUCGAACGGCAGCACAGUAAGAGCUUGCUCUUACGGGUGGCGAGUGGCGGACGGGUGACGAAUAUAUCGGAAUCUACUUUUUCGUGGGGGAUCACGUAGGGAAACUUACGCUAAUACCGCAUACCACCUACGGGUGAAAGCAGGGGAUCUUCUGACCUUUCGGGAUUGAAUGAGCCGGUGUUGGAUUAGCUAGUUGGCGGGGUAAAGGCCCGCCAAGGCGACGAUCGGUAGCUGGUCUGAGAGGAUGAUAGGCCACACGGGAGCUGGGACACGGUCCAGACGCCUACGGGAGGCAGCAGUGGGGAAUAUUGGGCAAUGGGCGCAAGCCUGAUCCAGCCAUACCGCGUGGGUGAAGAAGGCCUUCGGGUUGUAAAGCCCUUUUGUUGGGAAAGAAAAGCAGCAGGUUAAUACCCCGCUGUUCUGACGGUACCCAAAGAAUAAGCACCGGCUAACUUCGUG